rnacentral:rRNA from 1 species
GAUGAACGCUGGCGGCGUGCUUAACACAUGCAAGUCGAACGAUGAAGCCCAGCUUGCUGGGUGGAUUAGUGGCGAACGGGUGAGUAACACGUGAGUAACCUGCCCUUAACUCUGGGAUAAGCCUGGGAAACUGGGUCUAAUACCGGAUAGGAGCGUCCACCGCAUGGUGGGUGUUGGAAAGAUUUAUCGGUUUUGGAUGGACUCGCGGCCUAUCAGCUUGUUGGUGAGGUAAUGGCUCACCAAGGCGACGACGGGUAGCCGGCCUGAGAGGGUGACCGGCCACACUGGGACUGAGACACGGCCCAGACUCCUACGGGAGGCAGCAGUGGGGAAUAUUGCACAAUGGGCGCAAGCCUGAUGCAGCGACGCCGCGUGAGGGAUGACGGCCUUCGGGUUGUAAACCUCUUUCAGUAGGGAAGAAGCGAAAGUGACGGUACGUGCAGAAGAAGCACCGGCUAACUACGUG